AAAGUUUUACAAGACCAAUAAAAUUAUUCAACCGAUUCUUAUUUUAUUGCGAGAAAUAUAUAUAUCAUAAAGUACCAUUUUUUAAUCUACACAUUUAUCAUUCAAGAAAAUGUCAUAGUUAAAAAUCGACAGUUCGUGCGAAAGAGCAUCAUUUUAUUAUUCCAUUAGUCUUCAAAAGAUUUCCUUCAUAAACAGACAAAAUAUGAAAAAAAUUCUCAUGAAAAAAAAAUUUCACGCAAUAAAAUUUACACGAGUGGCAUAAUUUACGACAAUUAAUUCUAAUACAACGACAAGAUUUGUCUAUAUCUCCUUCCACGGUUUGUAUAUGUUUCUCAUUAGCACGAAAUAAUAUUUUUUCAAUAACGAGAAGGCGCCGGAUGAGUCAUAGAGGAGGUUCGACGACCGACGCGCCACAGCGCGGCGUAGCUCGGCCUUUAUGCGAAGCCAAACGAUGGAGGAAGCAAAGGACUCUAUGGCUAUUAAAAGAAACGCGGUAAAUUAGAGUAAGGGAAUGUCGACGAGGGAUGCAACGACACAAUGGAGAAUUUAUGAUUUGGACGUUUUGCUAUUUUUCUCGUGGGAUAUACAAGGCCAAUGCAAUUUACUGAACUGGCAGAUGACUAAGAAGCGCGGGAAGAAUUCGUAAUGAAAGAUGCGCGCGCAAGAUUCUCCGUGAAGGGAUGUAAAAACAAAUUUCAACAUCAACUCAUGGCACGAUGAAAUUAAGAGAAGAAAAUAGGCAAAGAAGAGAAAACGGGUAAAGGAACAACGAUGGAUAUUUAGGAUGAAGCAUUGGCGCGAACCAUAAAGGGAACCACUCGAAAGAAGAAGAAGAAGAAGAAGAAGACGAAGAACAUCUUCUGAAGAGUGCUUGAGAUUUACGAGAAAAUAGAGCGUGAUUCUGGAACUAUGGUUGGUUGGAUUUUUAUGAGACUUACGGUACUAAGGAGAAGUGUAAUGCUAUGCGAUGAAACUUUGUUCGCUUUUUUUUCUCUCUCUUUUCUCUGAUUUUUUUUUUUUUUUUAUUUUAAACUGAUAUAAUUACGCCUUUGGAAUAGUAAAUUAAGUAGUAACAUAAGUAUCAGGAGUGAAGAUUUGCAUAAUUUAAUAAU